rnacentral:rRNA from 1 species
CGAGGGCUUCUUUCGGGGAGUUUUCGAGUGGCGGACGGGUGAGUAACACGUGGAUAACCUGCCCAUUUGUGGGGGAUAGCCUUCAGAAAUGAGGGAUAAUACCGCAGACGGUGGCGACUGGGGGAGACUCUGGUGGCCAGGGAAGCUGUUGGAGGCGCAAGGCUCUGAUGGCGCAGAUGGAGGGGUCCGCGGCCGAUUAGCUAGUUGGUGUGGUAAGAGCGCACCAAGGCGACGAUCGGUAGCUGGUCUGAGAGGAUGGUCAGCCACACUGGGAUUGAGAACGGCCCAGACUCCUACGGGGGGCAGCAGUGAGGGAUCUUCGGCAAUGGGGGCAACCCUGACCGAGCAACGCCGCGUGCGGGAUGACGCUUUUCGGAGUGUAAACCGCUUUUCUGGGGGACGAGGGAGUACGGACGGUACCCCAGGAAGAAGUCUCGGCUAACUACGUGCCAGCAGCCGCGGUAAUACGUAGGAGACGAGCGUUGUCCGGAGUUACUGGGCGUAAAGGGUGCGCAGGUGGCCGCGCGCGUGGGGGGUGAAAUCGCCUGGCUUAACUGGGCGGGGGCCUUCCAGACGGCGUGGCUUGAGGCGCGGAGGGGGACGUGGAAUUCCGGGUGGAGCGGUGAAAUGCGUAGAGAUCCGGAGGAACACCGACGGCGCAGGCAGCGUCCUGGCCGCGACCUGACACUGAGGCACGAAAGCUGGGGGAGCAAACAGGAUUA